rnacentral:rRNA from 1 species
AUGUCCAAGUACUGGUGGGCGGGAUCGCUGGAUAAAAGAGGAAUGCACUGGCAGUCUUGGGAUAAAAUGUCCAUCUCAAAAUAUAGAGGUGGGAUGGGAUUCAGAAAUUUGGAGACUUUUAAUGAUGUAAUGUUAGCGAAACAGGCAUGGAGGCUAUUGGAGAGGCCAAAUAGCUUAUGUGCACAGGUACUAAAAGGGAGGCAUUAUCCUAAUGGUGAUUUCUUGAGUGCAGAUUGCCCAAGGAGUGCAUCACCUACAUGGAGAGCCAUCAUUGUUGGUAGAAACAUGUUGAAGGAAGGCCUGAUAAGGCGGGUCGGCGAUGGGAGGACGACAGAAAUAUGGCAUGACAAGUGGAUAGCUGGGACUGUGUCCAUGAAACCCAUAUGCCGUCUAUCUAAUGAACCAGUACAGAUAGUUGCUGAUCUUCUCGAGGAAGCAGGGCAGUGGAACACUCAUUUGAUUCGGAGUAUGUUUAUUGCCCCUGAUGCAGAUGCAAUAUUGAGCAUGCCGCGACCAAGAAGUGGAUGCCCAGAUUUUUGGGGCUGGGCAUGGGAGAAAUCUGGAUAG